AUUGAACGCUGGCGGCAGGCCUAACACAUGCAAGUCGAGCGAGCGGCGGACGGGUGAGUAAUGUAUGGGGACUGCCCGAUAGAGGGGGAUAACUACUGGAAACGGUAGCUAAUCCCGCAUACUAUCGGAUAACCCAUAUUGGAUUCGCUAGUAGGUGAGGUAAUGGCUCACCUAGGCGACGAUCCCUAGCUGGUCUGAGAGGAUGAUCAGCCACACUGGGACUGAGACACGGCCCAGACUCCUACGGAGGCAGCAGUGGGGAAGAUUGCACAAGGGGCGCAAGCCUGAUGCAGCCAUGCCGCGUGUAUGAUGAAGGCCUUCGGGUUGUAAAGUACUUUUGGCAGAGAAGCGGUAUCUGCAGAAUAAGCACCGGCUAACUACGUGCCAGCAGCCGCGGUAAUAC
rnacentral:rRNA from 1 species